UUCCACAUCCAUUUUUCCAAUCUUGUCAGGCAUAUAAGACAACCCUUCAUCAUGACCUGUCAAUGUCAGCACCUCCACUCUCUCCCAGGGCCCGUCAAACAAGAUUUCUGACAAAUUCACAACGAUUGAACGCUGUUUUGCAUCUGCACUGCAGUCACCAACAACUUCCGUUGUACACACUACACUCUUCACUGUUUCCUGCCAGAAUCACAAAAGUAUUCUUCCAUUGAUAUCUGUGCCCUGAAAAUGAAUGUGAACAUGCUGGAAAACUGAAGAAAAGAAACAGUGACAUGCAAGGAUGACACUGGAGCAAAAAGCUUAAGAGCUGCAUGAAAGCAGUGGGGAGAUUGACUUUGAAAGCCUCAGAAGUGUUCUUGCAGAGAAUAAUUACAGAAGCCCAAAUCUCCUUGAGUGAGGCUUUUCAUUCUCAGAUGUUGCAAACAUCAAUUUCUGGAGUGUAAUCUACUCUUCUCCUGGCAGAGACGUCUCCUACUCUAUAAAAGCAGAGACCUUCCUUGUUAUUUUCUGUUAUGUGGUAAUGCAUAGUUUCCUGAAUGGAAAAACACAUUGAAGCUGACAGAAAACAUACAGUAAUUUGUAUAUAGAACAUCUACAUAUAGCUAUAAAUACAUGUAAUUAUGCUACUUCUGCUCAAAAGGCUUUUUUUUAUUUAAUAGAAAUGCUUAUGAGACUGCUUUUGCCUUAUAACUUCAAAAGUAAUGAGAAAGGAAUUGGGAAACUCAGUCAUUUCCAAAAAUCCCUUUGAACUGAUUUUGAAGAGAACAAAACACAGAAGGUAAUAAAACACAUAGCAGCAUUCUUUUUUCUUUCUGCACAGUAACAAAGGGACUAGAAUCUAAUGUUCCCAACAAUAAUAUUUUUUUAAAAAGCUUGUUUUUCAAAUGACCAUGUUUACUUACUAAAACACAGCAAACCAGUAGUCUUACACUGACCUAACAUGCAAAUUCUCAGAGUCAAUCACCAGGUGUAAAUCAUCAAUGAUGCUGAUCAGUCAGGUUAUAUAACAUCAACCCAUAGCACCUGGGAUAUGUAGUUCAGUUGUCCUCACAGUUCAAAUCAUAUGCUUUGUGCAUACUAUCAGUAGUGUUUGAGAAUACUGUUUAGAGGCAUUAGGUCAAAAACAAGGUUAGAUUUUAUGAGUUAUAUAUAUAAUAAACAUUUAUAAAGAAGCAUUAUUACCAUUGAUUCCAACAGCUCCACCACACUGUAGGGAGAUUUCAGUACUCUCAUGGCUCCAGAUUUUUUCAGCUGAUAAGGUUUUAUUUCCUUUAAGCUGUUCCAUCUCAGUUCUCCAAUAUGACUUCUUAUCUUUUCUAACAUAGCCCAAGGCAACUAGCACUAUCAACCACUGAAAUCAUUACAGGCCUCAGAUUGGUCAAAAUUGAUUUAACUGUUGCAAGAAACACCAUGUUAUCAUUUAGAAUUCAAUUACUAAAAAGAAGUUCAUGCUUUUUGAAUUUUCUUAUCUAUUUUACUUCUUUAGUGAGGAAACGUACAUGCAUGUACAUUGGUCUCUUUUCUCAAGUGUUAAGUGAUAGGAUGUGAAAAACAGUCUCUAGUUGCACCCAGGGAAAUUUAGAUUGGAUAUUAACAAGAAUUGCUUCAUGGAUAGGGUGGAACACUGGAACAGGAUGCCCAAGGAAGUGUUGGAAUCUGCAUCCCUGGAGGUAUUUAAGAAAUGUGUGGACAUGGCAUUCAGGGACAUGGUUCAGUGACUGAACAAGAUAGGUCAGAUUGCUGGUUGGACAUGAUGACCUUGAAGUUAUUUUCCAGCCUGAAUGAUCCUAUGUUCUUCUUGAGUCUUAAAAUUUUCUUAUUCCCACGUAUAAUUAUUGCUAGCUAUAUCUACUGUAUCUUUUGCUCUACCAUUGUAUGCUCAAUGAAUUUGACUAGUGCUAUCAGAGAUGAUAGUAGCUGAGGUAGCAGCUUCUUCAGAGGAGAUGUCAUGCCAGCAGCAAUAUUCCUAAUAGUCAGACCACCCUGAUCAUCUAAUCUGACCUUCAGUUUAAUCCAGCAUCUCCUUAAAUAGCACCAUCAUUUUUUUUGAUAAUUUUUCCAGUUAACAACCAUGCUUUUCCUAACCCUGUCAAGUAUAUUCUGAAGGAAGCUUAUAGAAACUGAGAGAAAGAAAAGAAUAAUGUGGUAUGCCGUUUUCUUCCAAUCUGGAAGCAACUGAUAGAAUUUACGUUUGGUAUCUUCUCCCCUACAGGUGGCAUAAUUAUAAGUGAUGCAUAGGCAGACAGGAUGUGAGUUAUGAAUUUCAAAUGUUUCUUUACAUGGAAAUCAGAAUGUUUCACGUUUCCUCUGUGCCAGGAAGUAUGCAGAGACAGCACAACUGGAAUGUAUAAUUUCUGAUAAAUGUUGGUCAAGUAAAACAUAUAUUCAGAUAAGGUAAUGUAGCUUUUGCUCUCUUCCACUAGGACAGAAAAAUCUCAUUGCUACUCAAGUGUCAGCAUCCUGAUGCAAAACACACAGAAGGUGCUUCAUGCAUCACCAUGUUAAUGCAGGAAGUGAUGGCAGUGCUUUCUAGUUAGAGCAAUUUAGAAAGUGACAAUGUAUUUUCAGCUCAGCUAGCAAAACUACACUUUAAAAGGAUGAUUUUACUGGCACAGGCAAGAAUAAAAUUGCACGCUGUUACUACAUCUUUCUACUUCUCUGAUUUAGGUUUACAGUGCAGUCUUUUUAAAAAUUCAUUCCUCAGUUGAAUGAAACCUGUAAACAGUCAGCAUACUUUUUCAAGAUGUCAUAUAACUAUUUGGGAAAAAAAAAGUUCACUACAUUUCUACAAAUGACACAGUAUUCAUUUUAAAUUACAGAAUUUAAAUUCGUUGUACCAUAAAAUUAGGAUUAUCACAAAUUAUGGAAUGAAUUCAUAGCAUAUCACAAAUUUCUGGCAGUAAGCCUCAUAGAGCCAUUCCUAUUUAUAUUUUGUUUCCUGUUUGCUCAAGUUUAGGAAUUCUCCUGACCUGUGAGCUUGUGUUUAGUGAAUAGUACAAGAUCCUCAUAGAAAAAAAAUUGAUCCUUUGUUAAGAAACAGUUUUCAAUUUCCUACAAUCACUUCUGGAGCAGAUCUUAUAACAUUUUACCCUGGUGAAUACCUGUAUUAAAUUAAAGGGGAGUGUUUUUCAUUAUGUAUCAUUCAUUUCCAUCAUGGAGAUGGAAAGUGGGAUAUAUAAACUGUAUCCUAAAAGAACUGAGCAUGAAAUAAAUAAAUUUUAUAACCACUGAUAUAAGUGUUUUUAUAGCUGUGAAUCCAGACAGUAUAAUGUAUGGAUACAUUUCACAAAAAUACAACUACUAACCAUUUUAAAAACCAGAAACAUGUGUUUGCAUUUAAAACUGUGAAUAGGAACUUUUGUUAAUACUUGUACUAUAUUGUCUACUAUAUUAACAAAGCAUCCUUUGCAGAAGCAGCUUCUUAGUAGUGCCUCUUUAACCAGCAAUAGCCUUGGCACUUGCACUUUAAGUCAUUCGUCUUGAGGUUAAGCAAUAUAUUUCUAAGUCUUGGCAUAUUUUAUGCAUGUGUUGAACCUUGAUGUUUUUGUUGCCAUGGAAUAUUGCCAUCAUUUGAAUAUGAGACACCAUU